rnacentral:rRNA from 1 species
AGUGAACGCUGGCGGUAGGCCUAACACAUGCAAGUCGAACGGCAGCACAGUAAGAGCUUGCUCUUACGGGUAGCGAGUGGCGGACGGGUGAGGAAUACAUCGGAAUCUACUUUUUCGUGGGGGAUAACGUAGGGAAACUUACGCUAAUACCGCAUACGACCUACGGGUGAAAGCAGGGGAUCUUCGGACCUUGCGCGAUUGAAUGAGCCGAUGUCGGAUUAGCUAGUUGGCGGGGUAAAGGCCCACCAAGGCGACGAUCCGUAGCUGGUCUGAGAGGAUGAUCAGCCACACUGGAACGGAGACACGGUCCAGACUCCUACGGGAGGCAGCAGUGGGGAAUAUUGGACAAUGGGCGCAAGCCUGAUCCAGCCAUACCGCGUGGGUGAAGAAGGCCUUCGGGUUGUAAAGCCCUUUUGUUGGGAAAGAAAAGCAGCAGGUUAAUACCCCGCUGUUCUGACGGUACCCAAAGAAUAAGCACCGGCUAACUUCGUG